rnacentral:lncRNA from 1 species
GUAACGCCAGAGAAUAGCACCAGGCGAGGCGGUUUCACAGGAGCCUUCUCUUUUACCUCUUUGCGAGAGUCUUCCUCUCGUCCUCGCUGCUGGUCUCGCCCCUCUCGCUUUUUGCCGAGAGGACACAAGUGUCUCGCCUUUUCUGUCCAACUCGUACAGCCUUUUCGCUCUACCCCUCUCCGCAUUCCUCUCUCCUCUCUUCUCUCGUGUACGCUCGCGAAACGUUUUCUCUUCCUUCUCUGAUCACUGCCACCGUCACCACGGUCUCCUGUGCGCCUUCGCCGGAAAGAGGUGAUGCUGUCACCAUUGUGCUUUCCUUCUCAGGAAUCCAUCUUUAAGAGGCUCUCGUAACGCUCGGGACCACGUGAACGCAUCAAACCCCAUAUAAAUAUGCUUGUAUCUUUGAAUCUCUGUGAAUAUCUGUCUAUGCGUAUUUGCAUAGAGACACGAGCACAAGUGCAGAAAAGGUAGCGAUACAUGAAGAAAGACUUAUCGCAAGACCAGUUCAGUCUCUUCGUUUGCCUCUGGUUCCUGUGCGGACCUCUUCUCUUUCCUCGGCUUUACCGUCUCCUACCUCGCCGUCUCUUUCGCUUCCUACGGGGUGUCUCCGUCUCUCCCUCGUCGUCUUUCUCUCCUUCGUUUUUGCCGGUCUGCGGAACUGCGGUCGUCUCUUUCUCUCUCUUGCUCUCGUUUUCGUUUCCUCAUUUUCCUUGCUCCUUCUUUCUCUCUCCCGGUCGCCGCGCUCGUGGGUCGUCUUGGGUUCCUCUAUCUAACAAGGCCAUGGAAGCGCCGUCCUCAAAAGAGAAAAAGCGUCUCAGGGAGUGACGGAGGAGAAACACAGACGGAAGGCUCCAUGGCUCUUGUCUCCCUAACGCCUAUCUCCACACCUCCAAAACAAGACGC